ACCCUUUUAGCUCAAUGGUUGAGCGCUGCCACAGGUCGGUGGUUCGAGCCCACCAGGGCACA
rnacentral:tRNA from 1 species